CCCUUCUGUGUCACAUUCGGUCAAAUACAUCUUUAAUAAAAAGACUGAAAAUGAGUUUUUAAUCCAAGAGACUCCUGGAAACUUUGGAAGUUAAUUUGUAGUUGAGAAAACAAACAAACAGAUCAGGUUUGGGCUUGUCUGACUCUGCUGCCAGCUGACCUUGAAAUUCAGUGUGGGUUGCUUACCUGCUCCGAGCCCUCCUUUUCUCAUCUUUGAAAUGGAGAUGAUUGUAUCUGCUUCAAAACAGCUAAGACAGAAAUAGCACAAUAUGAGGAAAGGUCAGAGACCCUCCCUCUUGCUUGUAGACUCCGGUGAUGGUGGAAGAAUUGUGGCGGAUCUUCACGUGGGCAUCUGUGAAAGAGAAACAAUCUCCAUGGUGUUGGGAGACCUUUGCUGAUUACUUCUGAGCUACAUGAUGUUUACAUUAUUCAAACCAGAAGUACCAAAAUGAUGGGCAGAAGGAUUAUCUUGGAUUUGAUUCCUCGUCUGGAUUUAAAAUCCAGUUUCACAUCUAAUCAUAAAAUGAAAGAGAGGCAUCUUGAUAAAAUGGAGGACUGAUUGUAGAUAUCUUGUGCCAUGAACCAAAUUUUUGCUGAAAGGAACAAAGGGAAACCUACAGCAGCAUUGAAAAGGGAAACUUAGGGCCAAACUGGUGAGGACUUUCUGCUGUAUACAGUGCAAGGGACCAUAAAGAGAGGUGGACCAUAAAGAAGACUGAGCACUAAAGAAUCGAUGCUUUUGGACUGUGGUGUUGGAGAAGACUCUUGAGAGUCCCUUGGACUGCAAGGAGAUCCAACCAGUCUAUCCUAAAGAAAUCAACUCUGACUAUUUUUGUGGAAGGACUGAUGCUGAAGCUCAAGCUCAAGCUCCAAAACUUUGGCCACCUGAUGCAAAGAGUCAACUCAUUGGAAAAGACCCUGAUGCUGGGAAAGGUUGAAGGCAAAAGGUGAAGGGGGCUGCCGAGGUUGAGAUGGUUAGAUAGCAUCAUCGACUCAAGGGGCAUGAGUUUGAGCAAACUCUGGGAAAGAGUAGAGGACAGAGGAGCCUGGCAUGCUGCAGUCUAUGGGGCUGUAAGAGUCGGACAUGACUAAGUGACUGGACAACAACAGUGCACAGGGAACCAUGUAAGUGAAACUGAGAGCUGGACCACAGCCCAGUGUCUAGAGACACAGAGCCUGGGUAGUGAAAAGAGGUGUGUGCGCCUGAUGAAAUUACA
rnacentral:lncRNA from 1 species